UACGUAGGGGGCAAGCGUUGUCCGGAUUUAUUGGGCGUAAAGAGCUCGUAGGCGGUUUGGCAAGUCGGGUGUGAAAACUCCGGGCUCAACUCGGAGACGCCACUCGAUACUGCUAUGACUCGAGUCCGGUAGGGGAGUGCGGAAUUCCUGGUGUAGCGGUGAAAUGCGCAGAUAUCAGGAGGAACACCGGUGGCGAAGGCGGCACUCUGGGCCGGUACUGACGCUGAGGAGCGAAAGCGUGGGGAGCGAACAGG
rnacentral:rRNA from 1 species